AGCGGGGCCCAUCCCGUAAGGCUAAAUACUCCCGAGAGACCGAUAGCGAACCAGUACUGUGAAGGAAAGGUGAAAAGAACCUCGAACAGAGGAGUGAAAAAGACCCUGAAACCAUGCGCCUACAAGCGGUCGGAGCAUGUUAAAAUGUGACGGCGUGCCUUUUGCAUAAUGAACCUACGAGUUACUCUCGCUGGCAAGGUUAAGCGAUUCAGUCGCGCAGCCGAAGCGAAAGCAAGUCCGAACAAGGCGUACAGUCAGCGGGAGUAGACGCGAAACCAAGUGAUCUACCCUUGGUCAGGUUGAAGGUUGGGUAACACCAACUGGAGGACCGCACCGAUAAGCGUUGAAAAGCUUACGGAUGAACUGAGGGUAGGAGUGAAAGGCCAAUCAAACUUGGAGAUAGCUCGUACUCCCCGAAAUGCAUUUAGGUGCAGCCUCGAAGCAGAGUGAUAGAGGUAGAGCGACUGAUAAGAUGCGAGGGCUUCACCGCCUAUCAAGUCUUGACAAACUCCGAAUACUAUCACUUGAUCUUUGGGAGUGAGGGCAUGGGUGCUAAGGUCCAUGUCCGAAAGAGGAACAACUCAGACCACCGGCUAAGGUCCCGAAAUAAGGGCUAAGUUGAACAAACGAAGUAAAACUGCAAAGACAGCUAGGAUGUUGGCUUGGAAGCAGCCAUUCAUUUAAAGAGUGCGUAACAGCUCACUAGUCGAGGAGUUUUGCAUGGAUAAUAAUCGGGCAUAAGCCCUUUACCGAAGCUGUGGAUGUCGUAAGACAUGGUAGGGGAGCAUUCCGGCGGCGACGAAGGCCGUCCUCGAGGACGACUGGAGCUUUCGGAAAAGCAAAUGUAGGUAUAAGUAACGAUAAAGGGGGCGCGAAACCCCCUCGCCAUAAGACUAAGGAUUCCUGAUCAACGCUAAUCGGAUCAGGGUAAGUCGGGCCCUAAGGCGCAGCCGAACGGCGCAGCCGAUGGAAGAAACGGUAAAAAUUCCGUUACUGGAUAUAGGAGCGAUGUGGAGACGGAGAAGUGACACACCCGCCUGCCGACGGAAGCGCAGGUUAAAGGAAGUAGGUAAACGCCGGGCAGGCAAAUCCGCCUGGCGUGCCGAAGCUGACAGUAUCGAGAGCCCCCGGGCAAUCGAAUAGCGGUGGUAAUCAGGCUCCCAAGAAAAUCCGCUAAGCAUAUUCUAUAUUCACCCGUACCCCAAACGGACACACGUAGUCGGGUAGAAUAUACCAAGGCGCUCGAAAGACUCACGGUUAAGGAACUAGGCAAAUUGACCCUGUAACCUCGGGAAAAAGGGUCCCCAGUAAGAUGGGGCGCAGAGAAUAGGUCCAGGCAACUGUUUAACAAAAACACAGGGCUGUGCAAAAUUUCAAGAUGAAGUAUACAGCCUGACACCUGCCCGGUGCCGGAAGGUUAAGAGGAGAGCUUAUCGCAAGAGAAGGCUUGAAUUGAAGCCCCGGUAAACGGCGGCCGUAACUAUAACGGUCCUAAGGUAGCGAAAUUCCUUGUCGGGUAAGUUC
rnacentral:rRNA from 1 species